rnacentral:rRNA from 1 species
UACGUAGGGUGCAGGCGUUAAUCGGAAUUACUGGGCGUAAAGCGUGCGCAGGCGGUUUGCUAAGACAGGUGUGAAAUCCCCGGGCUUAACCUGGGAAUUGCAUUCGAGACUGAAUAGCUAGGGUACGGUAGAGGGAAGCGGAAUUUCCGGUGUAGCGGUGAAAUGCGCAGAUAUCGGGAGGAACACCCGUAGCGAAGGCGGCACUCUGGGCCGGAACUGACGCUGAGGAGCGAAAGCGUGGGGAGCAAACAGG